CGCGUGGGAAUCUACCCGGUAGUGGGGGAUAACCCCUCGAAAGGGGGGCUAAUACCGCAUAAGUCCUACGGGGUAAAGAUGGCCUCUUAGAGGCUAUCGCUUCCGGAUGAGCCCGCGUCCUAUUAGCUAGUUGGUGAGGUAAUGGCUUACCAAGGCCACGAUGGGUAGCCGGUCUGAGAGGAUGAACGGCCACACUGGGACUGAGACACGGCCCAGACUCCUACGGGAGGCAGCAGUGGGGAAUUUUGCGCAAUGGGGGAAACCCUGACGCAGCAACGCCGCGUGGAUGAUGAAGGCCUUCGGGUCGUAAAGUCCUGUUCUGGGGGAAGAAACGGUAGCAAGCCAAUACCUUGCUAUCCUGACGGUACCCCAGCAGAAAGCUCCGGCCAAUUAUGUG
rnacentral:rRNA from 1 species